CGCCUUUUGUAAUAUACAAAUAUAAAAGGUCCUGCCUGCCCAAUGACUUGUUUUAAUGGCCGCGGUAUUGUGACCGUGCAAAGGUAGCGUAAUCAUUUGUCUUUUAAAUAAAGACCAGUAUGAACGGCAAGACGAAAGCCUCACUGUCUCCCUAGCCCAAUCAAUGAAAUUGAUCUUCCCGUGCAGAAGCGGGAAUAUAAAUAUAAGACGAGAAGACCCUGUGGAGCUUUAAACUACUAACUACAUCCGCAAAUGCUUUAGUUACAAGUUUUAGGUUGGGGCGACCAUGAGGUAUAAUAAAACCCUCACGAUAUAACUAAGAAGGACACUUCAAUAUAACCACAUAAUACAUUGACCCAACAAUUGAUCAACGAACCAAGUUACCCCAGGGAUAACAGCGCAAUCUACUCAAAGAGUCCAUAUCGACGAGCAGGUUUACGACCUCGAUGUUGGAUCAGGACCCCCAAAUAGCGCAACAGUUAUUAAAGGUUCGUUUGUUCAACGAUUAAAGUCCU
rnacentral:rRNA from 1 species